ACAAGUUACAGAAAGAAAAUAGUAUUUCUAUGCUCCAGAAUCUAUCAAAAGGGAACACAAGAACUAGUUUACACAUUGAAGAGUAGAUAGGGACUCUGAGGUCUACGGAUGCAGAAGAUAUACCUUGAUGUCUCUACAGGUUGCUCGCCUCACAUAUAAGGCGGCUGAAAAGCGGAUCUUGGAUCUGCACAUGAAAAAUAUGUGCAGCAAAGGGCAUGGUACACCACAACCCAGUAAGUACCAAGCCUAACCUCAAGUAGCGACGAGAUCAGUCUAGGACCCUACUGGUAUAAAUAUAAUGAAAUAAGAUAGAAUAAAAUAUCACAGUUAAAAUAAAUACAGAAAUCUAACAGGAAUAGUCAUAGAAAGACAACUGCUCAGAACGAAGAGAUAACAACAUGGGAUCUCACGAGAUAGCGUCUCAUAGUCCCAAAUAUAAAUGUGCAGGGGAAUCUCCUGAAAUACCUUUCCGUAGUCCCAAAGUGAAUGUGCAGUAUAGGGGGAUCUCCCGAAUACCGUUGUGUAGUCCUAAAGUAAAUAUACUGUCCCACCAAUAGAAAUGAUUGUUACGGCAAGAAAACCUACAAUUUUGAAUUAGUUCAAGUCAAGGAAAGCCCAUAAU
rnacentral:lncRNA from 1 species